AGAUAUAUGGAAGAACACCAGUGGCGAAGGCGGCUGUCUGGUCUGUAACUGACGCUGAGGCUCGAAAGUAUGGGUAGCAAACAGGAUUAGAUACCCUGGUAGUCCAUACCGUAAACGAUGAAUGCUAAGUGUUGGAGGGUUUCCCCCUUCAGUGCUGCAGCUAACGCAUUAAGCAUUCCGCCUGGGGAGUACGGCCGCAAGGCUGAAACUCAAAGGAAUUGACGGGGGCCCGCACAAGCGGUGGAGCAUGUGGUUUAAUUCGAAGCUACGCGAAGAACCUUACCAGGUCUUGACAUACUAUGCAAAUCUAAGAGAUUAGACGUUCCCUUCGGGGACAUGGAUACAGGUGGUGCAUGGUUGUCGUCAGCUCGUGUCGUGAGAUGUUGGGUUAAGUCCCGCAACGAGCGCAACCCUUAUUAUCAGUUGCCAGCAUUAAGUUGGGCACUCUGGUGAGACUGCCGGUGACAAACCGGAGGAAGGUGGGGAUGACGUCAAAUCAUCAUGCCCCUUAUGACCUGGGCUACACACGUGCUACAAUGGAUGGUACAACGAGUUGCGAACUCGCGAGAGUAAGCUAAUCUCUUAAAGCCAUUCUCAGUUCGGAUUGUAGGCUGCAACUCGCCUACAUGAAGUCGGAAUCGCUAGUAAUCGCGGAUCAGCAUGCCGCGGUGAAUACGUUCCCGGGCCUUGUACACACCGCCCGUCACACCAUGAGAGUUUGUAACACCCAAAGUCGGUGGGGUAACCUUUAGGAACCAGCCGCCUAAGGUGGGACAGAUGAUUAGGGUGAAGUCGUAACAAGGUAACCAAGGGCGAAUC
rnacentral:rRNA from 1 species